rnacentral:lncRNA from 1 species
UGUUUGAUCUGCUUGUUGACUGUGAAUUGCUAUAUGAUUGUAUGUAUAUGUGCACAUGGUUGUUUGGACUGGAGUUGGGUUGAGGCGGGUCCUGCUUUGUGCUGUAGGCCAAGAUACCCAGGGCGGACCGGUUGUCCCGAAGGCCCAGCGAGCGGUCCGGAUAGGCUGUAGGCCCCAAGAGGGCGGACCAGACGUGCCGAGGCUCGGGGAGUGGACCAGGAAAACUGAAGGCCCGGUGUGGGCGGACCAGUCAUACUGUAGACUCAGAGAGUGGACCAGGUGGAUUGAAGGCCCGGUGCGGGCGGACCAAUCACACUGCAGACUCGAUGUAUGUGGUUAGAUUCGGAGAGUGGACCAGGUGGAUUGAAGGCCCGGUGCGGGCGGACCAAUCACACUGUAGACUCGAGGUUUAUGGCUAGACUCAUAGGGUGGACCAGGUGGACUGUAGGCCGGUGCGGCGGACCAGUCACACAGUAGACCCGAAGUGCAUGGUUGUUCUGUGAUCAGAUAUGUUGUGGCAUGUUAUGCGUGUAUGGUAUAUGUGGUUGGUAUUUUGGGGAUAUCUCACUAAGCUUUCGGGCUUACAGUUGUGGUUUUAUGUUUUUCAGGUUCUUCAGGAGAUCGUGGCAAGGCGAAGGCGUGAUCGUACCGCUCCUCGUGUUUAUAUUGAGAAGAGAUUCAGGGAAUACUUAAAAUG